UAGGGAAUCUUCCACAAUGGACGCAAGUCUGAUGGAGCAACGCCGCGUGAGUGAAGAAGGUUUUCGGACCGUAAAGCUCUGUUGUUGGUGAAGAAGGAUAGAGGUAGUAACUGGCCUUUAUUUGACGGUAAUCAACCAGAAAGUCACGGCUAACUACGUGCCAGCAGCCGCGGUAAUACGUAGGUGGCAAGCGUUGUCCGGAUUUAUUGGGCGUAAAGCGAGCGCAGGCGGAAGAAUAAGUCUGAUGUGAAAGCCCUCGGCUUAACCGAGGAAUUGCAUCGGAAACUGUUUUCUUGAGUGCAGAAGAGGAGAGUAGAACUCCAUGUGUAGCGGUGGAAUGCGUAGAUAUAUGGAAGAAUACCAGUGGCGAAGGCGGCUCUCUGGUCUGCAACUGACGCUGAGGCUCGAAAGCAUGGGUAGCGAACAGGAUUAGAUACCCUGGUAGUCCAUGCCGUAAACGAUGAGUGCUAAGUGUUGGAUCCUUUCCGGGAUUCAGUGCCGCAGCUAACGCAUUAAGCACUCCGCCUGGGGAGUACGACCGCAAGGUUGAAAC
rnacentral:rRNA from 1 species